UACGUAGGGGGCAAGCGUUGUCCGGAAUCAUUGGGCGUAAAGCGCGUGUAGGCGGCCCGGUAAGUCCGCUGUGAAAGUCGGGGGCUCAACCCUCGAAUGCCGGUGGAUACUGUCGGGCUAGAGUGCGGAAGAGGCGAGUGGAAUUCCUGGUGUAGCGGUGAAAUGCGCAGAUAUCAGGAGGAACACCAAUUGCGGAGGCAGCUCGCUGGGACGUGACUGACGCUGAGACGCGAAAGCGUGGGGAGCAAACGGG
rnacentral:rRNA from 1 species